GUGGGUUCUCUCUUCCCGUUUCUCUGCUGCAAAGUGGAGCCCUUUGGUCCACAGCUUUCAUCUCCACCUUGGAGGUGCAGUCGGUCCAGCAGCCCCAGAGAAGUCACGCGGAUGGAAUGGCAGAGGGAGAAGCUGGUUAAACGUCCGCUUUCCUAGGCCUUCCCCUGCAUAUUGCUGUGGAAGAACGAGGCUGGGGUGUACAAACCUGCAUUAUUUCCAGAUACUUCAAGAGACGUUUACGAUCAGCUCCUACGCUGGGCCGGCUGGUUAGGAAGGGAGCUAAGACAGAUCCGGUCCUUGCCCUCCAAGAACACACUGUCUACAGAAGCAGAACGUGAAAUAAGUCAUGACAAUGAGAUGUGGUGAGGCGUCCCGCCUUUGUCGUGGGUUCUGUGAGAGUGUUGGGAGAAAAAUCUGUCUCUAGGCUGGCUCUUCUAAUUCUACUGGGCUGUUCACAAACCUGAGGGAUAAAUCCUGAAAAAGUGUGACGCCAACAAAAUGUAGACGAACUGCGGGAACAGACGCAAGGCCACAGUGGCAGAUCAAAGCGAGGCGGCGAGGGGGCAGGCUCAGCUACGCAUGAUGAGGCACUACCAUAAUGAAGUUUGAUCCUGGUAAAGAACACAGGAGCCUGUAGAGGUCCAAGACCAGAAAUCAACCCCACACCCUGGCCCUCAGCCAGUGAAACACCUGCAGCCAAGAGGAGGACGCAGAACGCUCCUGAGCUCUCUGAGGCAUUAAUCAACGGGACCUCCACAUGGGAGAGACAGCGAACACGACAGUGAUGGUGGCCUCUUGGACCCACAGUUGAGCAUCCUGCAGGGCUCACACAGGAAUACUGCAUUCUGCAUUUGUCAGAAAUACUCUUACUCCAGCUUUUUAAUCUUUUCCCGAGAAUAAAGAGAUUGUCAGGUCAACUCCACCACGUGCUAUUCACAGCUGUAGAGGAUGGAGCCCUGCACAACUCGUGUCACUCUCUUCUCUGAUAUGGCCCCGGUGCCUGGUCAUUUCUUGUUUAUUAUUUGUUUGAGGGAAGAAAGAAACAGGCUCUCUACUCCCUCGGCGGGGGGCAGGGUGAGGGGAUGGCCACUCGGAUGGAGGCCUGGCAGGCGCAGGAUUGAAUUCGGGCUGAAGGGCAUGGGAGAUGGAGUGACGGCUUCCUGGAAAAGACUGAGAUACAGCUGCACAGUAAUCCAGGCUGGCCACGAAGCUCGCCAUAAAGCCAGUAUGAGAAAUUCCUCCUGCCCGUAUGAUGCAUCCUUAUUUUUUACUUUUAAAAGAAGAACUAUCUUAUGAUUUGGCAUAGAUCAUUGAUCAUGGUGCUUUUCUAUCUCAAAUGUCUCCCAGUGUGUUCUGUGUCAAAUUUACAAAAGACACAGCCGUUAUUUCCACAAAACAUUGGAAGAUUGAGUGACCGUUUGCCUGUAGCUCCUAUCACUUACAAGAGAAGUCCCUUGGGCGUGCUUUACAGAAGCCACUUAUGGGCCCCAAG
rnacentral:lncRNA from 1 species